rfam:Ictidomys tridecemlineatus contig003732, whole genome shotgun sequence.
GGGGAUGUGGCUCAGUGGUAGAGCGCUCGCCUGGCAUGCAUGAGGCACUGGGUUCGAUCCUCAGCACCA